rnacentral:rRNA from 1 species
GAUGAACGCUGGCGGCGUGCCUAAUACAUGCAAGUCGAGCGAACAGACGAGGAGCUUGCUCCUCUGACGUUAGCGGCGGACGGGUGAGUAACACGUGGAUAACCUACCUAUAAGACUGGGAUAACUUCGGGAAACCGGAGCUAAUACCGGAUAAUAUAUUGAACCGCAUGGUUCAAUAGUGAAAGACGGUUUUGCUGUCACUUAUAGAUGGAUCCGCGCCGCAUUAGCUAGUUGGUAAGGUAAAGGCUUACCAAGGCGACGAUGCGUAGCCGACCUGAGAGGAUGAUCAGCCACACUAGAACUGAGACACGGUCCAGACUCAUACGGGAGACAGCAGUAGGGAAUCUGCCGCAAUGGGCGAAAGCCUGACGGAGCAACGCCGCGUGAGUGAUGAAGGUCUUCUGAUCGUAAAACUCUGUUAUUAGGGAAGAACAAAUGUGUAAGUAACUAUGCACGUCUUGACGGUACCUAGUCAGAAAGCCACGGCUAACUACGUG